rnacentral:misc_RNA from 1 species
CUGCUGCUUUUUCCUUGCUCUUAUACAAUCUUUCUGCUAGGCCAUCCUCCAUACCCGUCUUCAAUCGCUUGUGGAUGAUCAUAGUGGUAUAAUGUAACAUGUGGCUAGAUGCCUGCAGAGAAAUAAACAAUCAAUCAAAGUGAAGCAAUUGAACAUGAAGAAAUUAAUUAAUUUAUUCUGAAAGCUUUAGUUGUGACCGUGACUGAUAAGUUCACUGAUGAGGUUGUUGUAAUAAAGCACGGCCUUUGGAUUGACAAGUCCCCUUCUAUCUGACAGAAAUUAAAAUUUUAUAUUGAUCAAAUAAAAACCAGAAACGGAUUCAUUUGUUGAUUGCUGCAAUCACUAGUUACAGUUAGAAAUUAUACUAGGGAUAAGUCUUGGCCAUGAUCUGGAAAAUCUAUAAGCAUCUAACCCAGUUUCGGCCAUGAGUUUGACAUCCUCCUGCAGUAGACACGUGAUCAUAACAACAAAAAAUAUGGCUUCUUGUGAUUGAAGUGACAUCUACACAACACUAAUUAUGAAAUAAGUUCAUUUUAUUUCAUCUUGUAUUUGUCAUACUCGUCAACCGAUACAUCUCCAGUUGCCCCAUCCAUUUUCCCUGGAAUUUCAGUUAGCAAAUUAAGCACUGAAUUUCAGAAAACUAACCCUUGAUAUUGAACAAGUGCCACAACCACAAGUAGAAAACUUCAAAAAACUAAACAAGAAGGAUAAAAGAAAAAUCUGACCCUCGUGAGAAACGGUAUCCCAAAUGCCAGGACUUCUCCCAUCUUCACUUGCUGCCCCUUCCACCUUUCAAAAUUUACCAACUAUAUAUAUUAUGAUCUUCCUUUCAAUUUCAACUUUCAAGUAUGGAUAGUAGGGAAAGCAGUAAGCAAAUGAUAAACCGACCUGGUAAGCAGAGGUGCCAGAACCAAAAACAAAUCCAGAAGGAAAGUCCUCUCUGCUACAUUUAUCGGCACAAAAAAUUGCUACCACCAAAUUAAGCAAAACAAUUAGCAGGUAAUAAACCCUUAACAUCAUGUGUAACAAGCUUAAUUACUAUGAUCUAGUCCCACAGAAACAGAGCAGUCCUUUGUCGAUUCUUGUCCUUCCACGGAGGCUCAGCCAAAAGCAAGAGAUACUAGUAACUAUAGGUGUUCUCCUCAUAAAAAAAAAAAAAAGAAAGAAACUAUACUGAUUAAAUGUGAAUAAUUUGUUCAGCGACAAGGAUUUUAUUAUCAAAAUUAUGCAACACUUUAUACGUGUACAAAGACAAAGAAGAUGCCUCAGCUUGUCUGCUCUCUGUCAGACGUAGACAAUUUGCCGUUGGAUUUAACAAUUACUUUUUUCAACUUUUCCUUGUGUGGAGUUUUCAGGUCUGAUCUGGGCACAAUGACACUGGCAUUGUUCAAAAUUUUUAGGGGAAAAAAAAAAGUGCAUCGUUUGACCGAUCAAAGAUUCAAAGUGACCCCAUGCCAUAAACACUAAAACAAGUCAUUUAGUGUCCCAGUUUAUCGUGCAUUCUCCGUAUAAGCACAGUGGUCCAGUGGAGACAGUAAUAUAAACAGUUCACAUGAAAAAACGAUGCCAUUCAAGCUAGGCUUGAGGGUUCAUACGAAAAAAAGGAUUCAAAAGGGCCUUCGCAGCUAGUCAAUGAAAUUCUCCACAUCUGCCAACACGAGCUAUGUCAUGAAAUCGCCUCAAUAACUAAUUUAGAAUCACCUUCAAAAAACACCCUUCGCAUGCCUUUUGCUUUGGACGGAAGAACUGCUUCACUUAAUGCAAUUGCUUCUAGAACUAGGAGAGACAAGAAAGUAGGAACCUGCUUUGUUGAAGAGAAUAUGAAAGCACCUAUAUGGCUUCUAGCUACCACAGCCACCCUCCAAGAUUCUGAUCCUUUUCAACAGCUGCAUUAAAAUUUAACUUUAUCCACCCUCUUUGUGGCGGGAACCAUUGAUCACUCACCUUUUGAUGAAUCAUGGGAGGAAGCAAGGCAUUGGCUUCUUCACUGAGGUAAUGACCAAAUUAAUAUUCUUCCUGAUGAUGCAUUGCUCUCUGCAUAAGAAGAGGCCUCUGUGUUAUGAAAAAUUACUUCGUUGUGCGCCUUCCAUAUGUGCCACAGCAAGAAACUGGCUAAAUUCACAGGAGAACCCAACACUCUUUCGCAUCGUCAGUAUGAAUCAAAUCAGACCUCAAGUUGAGAGGGGAGGUAAACCACACUUCUCUGGCCAGCUGACACUGAAAAAAGAGAAGCAUGGGGGACUCCAGCUGAUCACAAAAUUUGCAGGAGCUUGAGACAGAAGGGAUUCACUGCUGGAUAAUUGAGCCAUUGACUAGCAACCUCCAUAAAAAGACUUUAACCUUGCUCAGGACCUUCAAAUUCAAUAGCUGACUCCAAUGCCUUAGCUGGGGAUUUUGGCUAACAGUUCUAGAAUCGGCCAAGAUGUCUCUAGCUACAGCAUAGCCUGACUUAGCAAUGCAAUCUCCAUGUCAGGUGAAGUGCCAUAUCAGUUUUAUCGAAGAAAAGGAGGAUUGUUCUCGAUGCACAUCAGCCAUUCUACAUUUCCACUUAUUCACUAUAAGACAUGGUAUUCCACUUCAUUGGUCAUGAACGAGGGUUCUGGUCACUCUUCAAGAUUAUUUGCCAAGCACUACAGGAGCUUUUAGUUCAAUUUCUCAAACAUGUUAAUCUCUAGCAAUGCCAAUUAAUAAGGAAUUCCCUUAUCGCCCUAACAUUGUACCAGCAAACCAUUCUAUGCACAUCAACAAGUGGAGCAUAAUGUUUGCAGGAAGCAUUACUGUCUCCUGCAAUCUAUGUCCUGAUAAUUUGUAAACGCUAAUCUUCCAGUAGUCUUCCAUAAGAAAUGCCAUCAAGUAAGUGUACAAUGGCAAAUCGGUCCAAGCCCCAGAGACAUGCCCAUUCUCACAAACAUAAGCUCGAACAACCGGCUCACCAUCAUCAUGGCACUCGAAAACCCUCCUCAAACAAAAAGCAGAGCGCAGAUCCCAAGUCUCCUUGCACCCACAGAAGGCACACUUGAGAUCGAUCUUACUCCUAUACCCAUCAUUUAUGGUCCCCCAGACCCUAGACCGCUUAAAAUUCUUGAAAAUCCCCCUGAAAAGCAUGUAAUUGCGCUUUUCUUCCAUAUGAACGCAGCCAGGCCAAUCACAAAUGUACAAGCAAUCCCCUCGAAAACGGCUCGCCAAUAACUUAUUCCCUUGUUCUCGACUCAAAUUCCAGACUCCAGAUGCUAAAUGAGAUCUCAAAGGUCUGCAGAUUUUCCUCCUCUUACAAACAGAGAAAUUUCCACCCGCCUUAACAGUUUUAUCGUCUCUAACUUCUUCACUCACAUCCGCGGCACCAUCUUGUGACUCAGAUGCAUCAUAUACUGUAUCGUAAUAAAGGUCGUCGAAUAAUGACCAAGAGCAAUCGCAGUUUUCAGGAGUAGCAUCAGAAAUGCUGGAAGAGGAUGGAGGCGGUGGCAGUGUGGUUUUCAAUUGAAAGGACGCCAGCUUAUGGUAAUUAUCAUCGGGGCCGAGAUCACGUUCGAGGCCAAAAUCAGAGUGUUCAAGGAGAACGCCCGCGUGGAGGAGGCCAGGACAGCAGACGGCGAGCUUAUGGAGUGCCGACCAGCCACCAGGUAUCGAUGCGUCGGGGCCAGCGAGAAGAUCGCUUACAACGGCUGGAAUGGUUUUGUUGCAUUUUGCCUUCCAACAGAUGUUGCUGAUGAGAAGAGAGAACUUGGUACAGACACAAGCAAGACGAGCCCAGCUACAGGGGUCGUCUUCAAGCUUGAAGAAGAUGUUGAGAACCACAUCGUCAGACAGAUUUGAGAACACGGACACAGUAGAAUCAGGCAUUUUUUUCCCUUUUUUUUUUCUCCCUGACAGAAAGAAAUUGAACUAAGAAUAAAGGAUGGUUUCUCUCUAUUAUGUUCUGUUUGGUGAGAGCUUCAAUUUUAAUUAGAAAAUAGAAGAAAUUGAUAUAGGAAUACAGAAAUAAUAGAGAAAUUGAGAAAAAAAAAUAUAGAAGUUGAGACCAGCGGCAGCUCUUGAUUUGUGAGAAUCUACUGGCGGAUGCAAGCUACUGUUUCUUGAGUACGUGUAUUUUUCUACGCACUUUUCGUUAGGCUUUUAAUUUUUAUUUUUUAGAUUUUUUUAGUCUGCAGCACACGGCACGUCUAUUUUGGUGAUUUCAAUAGGAUUGGCCUUAUCUUCGACGUUUCCUUUAGCAUCGAAGGAACAAAAAACCAAGCCAAAACUGAGAAGCGGAUCCGCAGGGCCAAGUUCCGACGACUUCG